UCCCUGGUGGUCCAGUGGUUAAGACUCUGCACUUUCAAGGCAGAAGGUGCAGGUUCAAUCCCUGCUUGGGAAA
rfam:TPA: Bos taurus chromosome 12, whole genome shotgun sequence.